AAGGUACCAUUAGGUGUUCACA
rnacentral:miRNA from 10 species